CUAGGGAACAUGGAUUCGAGAUCCAAAUUUCUCAAGCAGGGCUGAUGCAUUCAUCAAAUAGUCUAUGAUAGAAGAUUGUCUCAUAAUUUAGGUUCCAUAUGGACAAGGGCCAACAAAAUUUAUUAGAAGCAUCACAAGCAACAUGGGGGACUUGGUGUUCAGUCUCUUAUCGCAAGGCGAGAGAUCCUGAUGGCUCGAUAUAUGGCUAAAUUUUUUCUAAACCCGAGGAGCCUAUGGAGUAUGGUGAUGAGGACCAGAUACGAAUCUUGGACUAUGAGCGAGGAGAUUCGGCCUAGCUAAAGCGCAUCUUUUGUGUGGCGGG
rnacentral:lncRNA from 1 species